rnacentral:miRNA from 1 species
UAAUAAAGAUGAUGAUGAUGAUGAUGAUGAAUUUGAUAGAUAAGUAAAGAAAAGUGACAGUCAUCAUCAUCAUCAUCAUCAUAU